CUCACCAGCAUCUGUUGUUUCCUGAUUUGUUCAUUUUAGCCACUCUGACCGAAUGAAAGACUCUGGACUGUCUCUGAGAAGAAUGAGCUGGGAGUCAGUCUAGUCAUCAGGACCACCAUAGACCUAUUACCGAGAGAUCCUCUUACUCAGCCUGCCUCAAAUAUCCAACUGGCUGCUGGAUACGUCAGCCUGGUUUCCCACCAGCCAAGAUGUGCACUAAUUGCGUGUGCAAUUCAGAACUGAGGUAUGCAGGGUUUAACUCAUUGUACCUCCACCCCUGUCCCCAGAAAGCCCCAGUCCUCUUUCUGAGUGUGUGACCUAGGCUCCUUGCUCACCACUAAAUCUCCUGAUUUGUCUGGCACAUGCCUCGCACACCUUCCCACUCCACUCUCUAGUCCUAUUUUCUCUCAGCCCUGAAGGUUACAGUAGCCUCUUCCCUGGCCUCUCAGUUGCAAAAUUCGGGCCCUCCAGCCUAUCUUCCUCUGCAUUGCCCCCAGAGUUCUCUCUUGAACGUGCAAAUCUUACCAUGUCACUUCCUGUAGAGAAUGUCUCUGUGACUGGCUGUCACCCUUGGGUUAACAGGAAAACGUAACCUGGCAUUCAAGGCCUUUUGUCACUCAGCGCUUGUCAUCCCUCAUCCCCAGGUUUAUGCCUCCUUGCUUCUUGUCUGCAGUCACUGAUGGGGCUGAUGGACACCCUUGCCCUUUUGCACCUGCUGUUCCAGUGGCCUGGAAUGUCCUCCCCCAUCUUGUCUGGCAAACUUCUCCUCAGCAUUAAAUUCCACAUUUGUCAACCCUGUGGUGAAGCCCCAGCCAAACAUGGAAACAGUCACUCUCUCUACACUUGCUUUGUAGAAUGGAGCAUGAAGUUGGCUUAGAGACAGCUGAGAUGGACCAGCCAAGAGGUGGUGGUGGUGGAAAGUAAGGCAGUAGCUGGGGAAUGGAAUGAAGAAGGUCUCGGAUGUACUCCCAGUGUAGGGUUUUCGGGACCUGCUGACAGAUUGGAUGUGGGGAAGAGAAGGGGGGAGGAUUCCAGGAGGCCGUAGCCUCUAAUCAGAGGAAGCAGCUACAACAGCAGAAAGAAAAUUACAAGGAAAAAUACUCACAUGCUGAUCACCCAAGUUGAAUACAUUUUAACUCUUACCUCAGUCUCAUUUUUACUCCCUUCUAUCUCCAUCCCCUACAUCCUCCCCACUUCCCACCCCUACACACAUGGAUUAGUUUGAAGUAAACCCAGACAUCUUAUAAUUUCCUCUGGAAAUUAUCCUAGCCUGGGUCUCUAAAACAUUAUCACUCCUAAAAAAGUUAAGAGGAAAAGAAUACAACAAAAAAAUUAAUGUCAUUAUAUCCUCAGAUAUACAUUUAGUGUUUACAUUUUCCUGAUUGUCUUUUUUUAAGUAGGUGGUUUUUCUUUCUUUUCUUUUCUUUUC